CCCCUCUCAGGAUUGCACCUGGAGAGUUUCCAGUACUCUACCAGUCUCAGCUAAGGGAGAGAGAGUCAAGUAGGGGCAUAGCCAUUCCAUUCCUAGCUUUGGCAGUGGCUAGUGAGCGGAAGGCCAUCUGCUACAAGU